rnacentral:rRNA from 1 species
UACGUAGGGUGCAAGCGUUGUCCGGAAUUAUUGGGCGUAAAGGGCGCGUAGGCGGAUAGUUUAGUCAGAGGUGAAAGCCCAGGGCUCAACCUUGGAAUUGCCUUUGAUACUGGCUAUCUUGAGUUCGGGAGAGGUGAGUGGAAUGCCGAGUGUAGAGGUGAAAUUCGUAGAUAUUCGGCGGAACACCAGUGGCGAAGGCGACUCACUGGCCCGAUACUGACGCUGAGGCGCGAAAGCGUGGGGAGCAAACAGG